rnacentral:tRNA from 1 species
GGAGAGGUGGCCGAGUAAGGCUGAAGGCAACCGCCUGCUAAGCGGUUGUACGGGUAAAACUGUACCGAGGGUUCGAAUCCCUCCCUCUCCGCCA